AGUGAACGCUGGCGGUAGGCCUAACACAUGCAAGUCGAACGGCAGCACAGGAGAGCUUGCUCUCUGGGUGGCGAGUGGCGGACGGGUGAGGAAUACAUCGGAAUCUACCUUUUCGUGGGGGAUAACGUAGGGAAACUUACGCUAAUACCGCAUACGACCUACGGGUGAAAGUGGGGGACCGCAAGGCCUCACGCGAUUAGAUGAGCCGAUGUCCGAUUAGCUAGUUGGCGGGGUAAUGGCCCACCAAGGCGACGAUCGGUAGCUGGUCUGAGAGGAUGAGCAGCCACACUGGAACUGAGACACGGGCCAGACUCCUACGGGAGGCAGCAGUGGGGAAUAUUGGACAAUGGGCGCAAGCCUGAUCCAGCCAUACCGCGUGGGUGAAGAAGGCCUUCGGGUUGUAAAGCCCUUUUGUUGGGAAAGAAAUCCUGUCGGUUAAGACUCGGUGGGGAUGACGGUACCCAAAGAAUAAGCACCGGCUAACUUCGUGCCAGCCGCCGCGGUAAUAC
rnacentral:rRNA from 1 species